rnacentral:rRNA from 1 species
CGGGCGGGUGAGUAACGCGUGGGUAACCUGCCUUGUACUGGGGGACAACAGUUAGAAAUGACUGCUAAUACCGCAUAAGCGCACAGUAUCGCAUGAUACAGUGUGAAAAACUCCGGUGGUACAAGAUGGACCCGCGUCUGAUUAGCUAGUUGGUAAGGUAACGGCUUACCAAGGCGACGAUCAGUAGCCGACCUGAGAGGGUGACCGGCCACAUUGGGACUGAGACACGGCCCAA